rnacentral:lncRNA from 1 species
GAACUUCCACCUUCACACACUGCUUCCACAGCCAAUUCCUUCCAUUUCAUAGCAUUUCUUUUCAUUUCAAUCCCUUCUUCCCCUUCCAUAACUUGUCUAAUACACCUCUCUAUUUCAUCUCCACUCACAAUCCCAUCCUCCCUCACAUUAACUCGAACCCCAACUUUCCAAACAUCCUCAACUAGCUUAGCAUCCGUGGUUUGGUCGGUCCACUGCGGCAUCGCCACCAUCGGUAUCCCCAAACACAAGGCCUCAAUCGUCGAGUUCCACCCACAAUGCGUGAAAAAACACCCUAUGGCCUCAUUCGCAAGUACCUCGGUUUGUGGUAUCCAAGAAACUAUCAAUGCUUUAUCACCCAUUUCCUCAAUGAACCCGUGUGGGACUUUCGAUAACUCGGAAGACCGAACCACCCACAAGAAAUGAAACCCAGUUUGCUUUAAACCUCGUGCGAGUUCCUUCAUUUGGUCACUGGUUAGGUUAGCCAAGCUUCCGAAUGAGGCGUAAACGACCGAGCAUGGUGGCUUGGAGGUUAGCCAACAUGUACUAGUAGAGUCUAGUUUAAAGAGAUUGAGAUCGUAAUCUUUGUCAUUUUCAAGUCUUUUAUCUAAAUACAUGGAUGGGAUUGUUGGGCCUAUCGUUAACAGUGGUUGAGACAUCACCUUCGACAUCGAGUCAACAACCUGUUUAUAGCAAAGAGAUCAUUACAAAAUGGUAUAAAAGUACAUUGCAUGUCCCUAUACCACUUGUUACAGUUUGGUUUUUAUACAUUUAAAACUAGUAACAAUAUAAUAGCGAAAUGAUAACAAAACAAUAAAAAUCAGUGAUAAAAUAGCAACAUUUUUUUUCUACAAAUUCGUGCUGAACCUAAGCAAAAAAAAGCUUUCCCAUUUUUCGAUCUUAUAUUUUUGCCCAAAUCUUCUCACUUUUCGGGUUGGCCUUCAGGUUGAACUAGGUGACUCGGCCCAUAGAUAAGUCUAGGUUUUAGUUUAGGGUUUUGAAACUCUCUAGCUAUCACUACCAUCGGGGUGAAUAGAGAUAUUUUUUUGUCUCAAUUUGGUACUUAAGUUUGGCUUAAAUGUUCAAUUUGAUGCCUGAGUUUUUUUUGUCCCAAUUAGGUAUCUGUGUUUUUCUAAAGAAAAAUUUAGUAUAAUAAUAAAAUGAAAUACUUAAAUACUAUUAAUUUAUAUUGAUACGAUUGACAUCGACAAUUAUUAUUAAUUGAAGUUAUUAUUAACUAAGCCCAAAAUUAUUAGAGCAGAACUUAAUCAAGUCCUAUAAUUGAGAAGAAAAGAGAGAGAGAGAGCGCUUUCUAUAGUUAAAAGUAAACUAACCUCUUGUUCCAACUUGUAGAAGGUAUUAAUUAAAAUGAAAUCAGCUUUGUCUAUAUUAGAGAAUUGAUUCAACAGCAACUCGAAAUAAGAUGGAUACGAACCCACAACAUAGAUAAAUGACGGCAUGUCUCGAAGAUCAAGCAACGGCAACCCGGGAAUGACAAUUGGCAUCAUUGACGAUGAAAUCGGAAGACUCAAAAGCCCGUUACGAGCAUAAUAAUAUAUGUAAUUCACAGCGCACGCCUGCGUAAAAAAAGCUAUUCCAACAAUACCAAAUUGUUGGGCAACAUCAAGAACCCAUGGAAGGAAAGCAUCAUAGAGUAUGCAAUCAAUAGGACGGGGUGAGUUCUUAUGCUUUAUGAUAAGUUCGGUCAAGGUUUUUGACCCAACAGUUUGUAAUCGUACAAGGUAAUCGUCAAUACUCCUAACUUCAAAGAAUCUGCCUUCAUCACAACCAUCUGAUAUCGUGUCGAAAUCGAUGUCGAAGUUGAGUAAUUCGGGUUUCAUGGUUUCGGAGAUGAAGACAGUGGUGGCAAAGGUUGCUUUGAGUCCUUUGGAGGAUAAGCGUUUGGAGAAUUGAAGCAUUGGGUUAAUAUGGCCUUGGGUCGGAUACGGAAUGACCAAUACAUGACCCCUAUUGUUAGCUUUUUUCUCCAUUUGUUUUUGUUCUCCAAUAUAAUUUAUGUUCUUCAAGAAUACUGUAGUAUGCUAUUUAUAUUGGUAGAGUGUGUAAGACCACGACUAAUCUUAAAAGGAGUGGAUGGAAAAAGGAUUAUGUCAUAUCAAUGGAUAGAGUUCUACAGCCCCAAUUAUAGGGAAACAAAAAAAAGUAACGAGCUUUUCUUUGAGUUGUUUAUCUUCAAAACCGAUCAAAUAUAUUUUUUUAUACAAUGUAUAGAAUUGUUUAUAACCCUUAACCCUUAAAUAAGUGAAUAAACGCGUUUCAACACACUCGAACUCACAUCGUCCUACAUUGCCAAUAAUAUUCACGCCAGUCGAACCAAUACUGAAUUGACACAUAUUAAAUAUAUUUUUAAAUAUCAAUCAAUAUCAAAAUAUGAGUAAAAAAUAAAACGAUAUAUAGGUUUACAAGUGUGGAAGGAUUUUGAUCAUAGGAUCUCAAAAAAAUAUAGAUAAGAUGAUUUCAUCCACACAAAAUAUAGGCAAUAUUUUCAACUUUACACCGAAUACAAACAAUGUUCCUUGAUUGAAUCUAAAAUUAUUGAACCAUCCAUCCCUUUCAUGAUAAUGAUACCUUUUGGGUUCAAACGUUCAAUAAUUCAACAAAUAUUGUUCUACCACAUACGUAGACUUGUACAGCCCGACCCGAAGGUCUGUCCGAAAAAUGAAAAUAUUUGGAUAAAAAUAUAAGCUUAAAAGAUGAGUUUCGGCAAAAAAAUUAAGCUCGUUUAGAAAACGGGUUGAGUCCUAAGUAAAGUUUUUUUUUGCCCCGACCUUGGCCUGGAUACAUGUCUAAAAGUAUCGAUACCCUUAACAAAGUAUUUGUACUUUCACAAAAGUAUCAAUACCCUGCCUGGUAUCAAUACCGUUUUAAGGUUAGAUGUUUUGAAAAUUAAAGAAAAAUUGCUUGAGUGUCGAUACUCUCUCUAAGGUGUCGAUACCUCAUAAUGUAUCGAGAUUAUAAGUUUUAAUACAGGUCAAGCCGGUCCGGGCCCGGGGUUAGCAUAUAUAAUCUAGGCCGGUUUGGGUAAAAAUUUACACCCAUUUUUGAGCCGAACCUAAAAUUUUGUUAAAACUCGGCUCAGCACAUGAACAACUCUAAUCACGCUAGAUUUCUAAAUAAGAAGUAAAACUCUUUUAACAUUGCUGUUUCCGUUCAUAAAAUUUGAAUUUUAAAACAAAGAUAUAAGUUUCUAAUCUCUCAACAUAAUAAGCAUUGAUAGAGACUAGGAUGAACCCUGAAAUAUUAUAAAAGAAGUCCAAAAUAUUACUAAUUAUGGCAGCAAUAGAACCACUUGUUCCCUUUGUAUCAAAUUUUCAAUUUUAUAACAUGUUCAAUUUUAUUUUUUUUACAUAUCGUAUGAAUAUUAAAAAUAUAACAUUAUAAUAUAAAUAUUAAAUAAUAUUUAAGUUUAAAUAUUAUAAAAUUCAGUCCAUGCAAAAAAUGUUUAUCUCUAUACUCAUGUUGUAAGUUCGAGUCACAAGAAUUGUUUACUGAUAGUGUGUAUAUAUAUGGCAAUGGUUUGCUACUAUCAGUGGCACGUGAGCUAUGCUAAAUAUAUAUACAAGUCAGAAUAGGGUACCUAACCAAAUUUGGAUUAAUCAUUUAUAAAUAUAAGAAAUAAAAAUAAUUGUAUAUAUGAAACUCGAUUUUGAUUUAAAUACGAAAUUCUUUGCUUAUACAAUAUGUAAAUAUAAAAUGAUAUUUUUUCGCACAAACGAAAGUUGGUGUAGUUUUGAGAUCUUUUUUCCUUUUCAUGCAACAAUUAUUGAAUAAUAUUGUUGGCUUAACUACAAUAUUAGACCCUAAAUUUUUUUUUUACUUCGUUACUUAAUUUAUUUUUUUUGUUAAAAAUAGUACCUAAACUAUCAAUUUCAUCUCAUUUUACCCAAAAUAGUGUAUGAAAUCCAAUAAAAACAUGCUAUAUGUCACAUUCUUAUUGGCCAUUGUCAUGUUUUGGAAUAAAAUGAGAUAAAAUUGAUAGCUUAGAUUUAGAGGUGCUAUGGGCCAGGUUCGGGCUAGGCAUAAGCAUGAUUUUAAUAUACUUUAUGUUUGUCCAAACCCGGCCAAGAAUAUGGGCUUAAAAUUUUGCCCAAACCCGUAAAAUUGUAAAAGGCUAACCCAAGUCCAAUUUAGCCCCGCCCAUAUUAUUUUUUUGAUUUUUUUAAAAAUAUUUAUAUUAUUUUAUCUUAUUUUAAUAUUUAAUAAUUUUAUACAUUUUUUAUUUAUUGAAAAUUUUUAUAUAGUCAUCUUAACAUUAUUUUAAUGUUUACAUUAGAGUAGUAUUAUAUAUUUAGUAUAUGUUUAUUUUUUAAUGUGUUAUAAAUAACAUAAUAUAAAGUAUUAAAACCUUGAAAAUGGGUCGGGUUGGGCUUGAGCCUUGAAUAUUUAAGCCUGAGCUCGACCCAUACUUUAAACGUGCCUAAUUAUUUUUCCCAGACCUAUUUUUCGAACCUAAUAUUUUUGCUUAAACCCUCUUUACAUACAUUGUACCAAAGAGAGCUGAAUAAUCAUAUCGAUUUAAGACAUUUUGAGUGAAAUUUGUGUUUUGAUCAUAAUUGAAUCACUCUAGCUUUUACCUAUUUUCUAAUAACAUAUAAUAUGCGUUAAUGCAUAAAUCACUUCAACUAAGUCUCGAAUUUGUGAUUUUAAAUAUUUUGUUUACUAAGAACACUAACCCUAUUUACAUCGUGCCAAUAUUUUAGAGACCAAUUCAUCAAUAUUCUUGUCCGAACUUCCACCUUCACACACUGCUUCCACAGCCAAUUCCUUCCAUUUCAUAGCAUUUCUUUUCAUUUCAAUCCCUUCUUCCCCUUCCAUAACUUGUCUAAUACACCUCUCUAUUUCAUCUCCACUCACAAUCCCAUCCUCCCUCACAUUAACUCGAACCCCAACUUUCCAAACAUCCUCAACUAGCUUAGCAUCCGUGGUUUGGUCUGUCCACUGCGGCAUCGCCACCAUCGGUACCCCCAAACACAAGGCCUCAAUCGUCGAGUUCCACCCACAAUGCGUGAAAAAACACCCUAUGGCCUCAUUCGCAAGUACCUCAGUUUGUGGUAUCCAAGUAACUAUCAAUGCUUUAUCACCCAUUUCCUCAAUGAACCCGUGUGGGACUUUCGGUAACUCGGAAGACCGAACCACCCACAAGAAAUGAAACCCAGUUUGCUUUAAACCCCGUGCGAGUUCCUUCAUUUGGUCGAUGGUUAGGUUAGCCAUGCUUCCAAAUGAGACGUAAAUGACCGAGCAUGGUGGCUUGGUGGUUAGCCAACAUGUACUGGUAGAGUCUAGUUUAAAGAGAUUGAGAUCGUAAUCUUUGUCGUUUUCAAGUCUUUUAUCUAAAUACAUGGAUGGGAUUGUUGGGCCUAUCGUUAACAAUGGUUGAGUCAUCACCUUCGACAUCGAAUCAACAACCUGUUUAUAUCAAAGAGAUCAUUACAAAAUGGUAAAAGUACCUUGCAUGUCCCUAUACCACUUGAUGCAUUUUUGUUUUUAUACUUUUAAAAAUGGUAACAAUAUAAUAGUGAAAUGAUAACAAAACAAUAAAAAUCAGUGAUAAAAUAGUAACAAAAAUAUUUUUUUUACAAAUUCGUGCCGAGCCUAGGCAAAAAAAAGCUUUCCCAUUUUUCGGGAUUAUAUUUUUGCCCAAAUCUUCUCACUUUUCAAGCUGGCCUUCGAGUUGAACUGGGUGACUCGGCUCAUGGAUAAGUCUAGGUUUUAGUUAGGGUUUUGAAACCAAUUCUCUAGCUAUCACUGCCACCGGGGUGAAUAGAAAUAUUUUUUUGUCUCAAUUUGGCACUUAAGUUUAGCUUAAAUAUUCAAUUUGAUACCUAAGUUUUUUUUGUCCCAAUUAGGUAUCUAUGUUUUGCUACAAGAAAACACAUGUCAAACAUUCAUUAGCAAUAUGAUGUCAUUUGGUUUGGAUACCAAAUUGAAAAAUGAAAUUAAACUUAAAUAUCAAAUUGAAAAAAAAACCCUUAAAAUACCAAAUUUAAAACUAAACUCAAUACUAAAUGAUAUAUUAACCGCUUGAAUUUCUCAAAAAAAUAGAUAAAUUUAAUAUAAUAAUAAAAUGAAAUAUUUAAAUACUAUUAGUUUAUAUUGAUACGAUUGACAUCGACAAUUAUUAUUAAUUGAAGUUAUUAUUAACUAAGCCCAAAAAUAUUAGAGCAGAACUCAAUCAAGUCCUACAAUUGAGAAGAAAAGAGAGAGAGAGAGAGAGAGCUUUAUAUAGUUAAAAGUAAACUAACCUCUUGUUCCAACUUGUAGAAGCUAUUAACUAAAAUGAAAUCAACUUUGUCUAUAUUAGAGAAUUGAUUCAACACCAACUCGAAAUAAGAUGGAUACGAACCCACAACAUAGAUAAAUGACGGCAUGUCUCGAAGAUCAAGCAACGGCAACCCGGGAAUGACAAUUGGCAUCAUUGACGAUGAAAUCGGAAGACUCAAAAGCCCGUUACGAGCACAAUAAUAUAUGUAAUCCACGGCGCACGCCUGCGUAAAAAAAGCGAUUCCAACAAUACCAAAUUGUUGGCCAACAUCAAGAACCCAUGGAAGGAAAGCAUCAUAGAGUAUGCAAUCAAUAGGAUGGGGUGAGUUCUUAUGCUUUAUGAUAAGUUCGGUCAAGGUUUUUGACCCAACAGUUUGUAAUCGUACAAGGUAAUCAUCAACACUCUCGACUUGUAAGAAUCCGCCUUUAUCACAACCGUCUGAAAUUGUGUCGAAAUUGAUGUCGGAGUUGAGUAAUUCGGGUUUCAUGGUUUCGGAGAUGAAGACAGUGGUGGCAAAGGUUGCUUUGAGUCCUUUGGAGGAUAAGCGUUUGGAGAAUUGAAGCAUUGGGUUAAUAUGGCCUUGGCUUGGAUAAGGAAUGACCAAUACAUGAACCCUUUUGUUAGCUUUUUUCUCCAUUGGUUUUUGUUCUCCAAUAUAAUUUAUGAUCUUCAAGAAUAUUGGAGUAUGCUAUUUAUAUUGGUAGAGUGUGUAAGACCACGACUAAUCUUAAAAGGAGUGGAUGGAAAAAGGAUUAUGUCAUAUCAAUGGAUAGAGCUCUAUCGUCCCAAUUAUAGGGAAACAAUAAAGUAACGAGCUUUUCUUUGAGUUGUUUAUCUUCAUAACCGAUCGAGUAUAUUUUUUGAUACAAUGUAUAGAAUUAUUAAUAACUCCUAACCCUUAAAUAAGUGAAUAAACGCGUUUCAACACACUCGAACUCACGUCGUCCUACAUUGCCAAUAAUAUUCACACCAAUCGAACCAAUACUGAAUUGACACAUAUUAAAUAUAUUUUGAAAUAUCAAUCAAUAUCAAAAUAUGAGUAAAAAAUAAAACGAUAUAUAGGUUUACAAGUGUGGAAGGAUUUUGAUCAUAGGAUCUCAGAAAAAUAUAGAUAAGAUGAUUUCAUCCACACAAAAUAUAGGCAAUAUUUUCAACUUUACACCGAAUACAAACAAUGUUCCUUGAUUGAAUCUAAAAUUAUUGAACCAUCCAUCCCUUUCAUGAUAAUGAUACCUUUUGGGUUCAAACGUUCAAUAAUUCAACAAAUAUUCUUCUACCACAUACUAUACGUAGACUUGUACAGCCCGACCCGAAGGUCUGUCCGAAAAAUAAAAAUAUUUGGAUAAAAAUAUAAGCUUAAUUGCUUAUAAGAUGAGUUUCGGUAAAAAAAUAAGGCUCGUUUAGAAAACGGGUUGAGUCCUAGGUAAAGUUUUUUGGCCCCGAGCCUGGCCCAGAUACAUGUCUAAAAGCAUCGAUACCCUUAACAAAGUAUUUGUACUUUCACAAAAGUAUUGAUACCCUGCUUAAGGUUAGAUGUUUUGAAAAUUAAAGAAAAAUUGCUUGAGUGUCGAUACCCUCUCUAAGGUGUUGAUACCACAUAAUGUAUCGAGAUUAUAGGUUUUAAUACAGGUCAGGUCAGUCCGGGCCCGAGGUUAGCAUAUAUAAUCUAGGCCGGGUUUGGGUAAAAAUUUACACCCAAUUUUGGGCUGAACUUAAAAUUUUGUUGAAACUCGGCCUGACACAUGGAUAACUCUAAUCACAUAUAUUUCUUUUUACCUCGUUCCGUAUUAAAUUUUGAUUAAUUUAGAGUUAAAUUUUUAAAUAAGAAGCAAAACUCUUUUAACAUAGUUGUCUCCGUUUAUAAAAUUUGAAUUUUAAAACAAAGAUAUAAGUUUCUUAUCUCUCGACAUAAUAAGCAUUGAUAGAGACAAUGAUGAAUCCAGUACAUAUUAUAAAAGAAGUCAAAAAUAUUACUAAUGGCAGCAAUAGAACCACUUGUUCCCUUUGUAUCAAAUUUUCAAUUUUAUAACAUUUUAUUUUUUAUUUUUUAUAUGUCAUAUGAAUAUUAAAAAUAUAACAUUAUAAUAUAAAUAUUAAAUAAUAUUUACGCUUAAAUAUUAUAAAAUUCAGUCCAUGCAAAAAAUGUUUAUCAGGAAUUUUGAGAACUCUUUACAUCCAUUGUACCAGAGCCGAAUAAUCAUAUCGAUUUAAGAAAUUUUGAGUGAAAUUUGUGUUCAAUUUGAUCAUAAUUGAGUCACUCUAGUUUUUACCUAUUUUCUAAUAACAUAUAAUAUGUGUUAUUGCAUAAAUCAAUUGAACUAAGUCUCGGAUUUGUGAUUUUAAGUAUUUUGUUUACUAAGAACACUAACCCUAUUUACAUCGUGCCAAUAUUUUAGAGACCAAUUCAUCAAUAUUCUUGUCCGAACUUCCACCUUCGCAUACUGCUUCCACAGCCAAUUCCUUCCAUUUCAUAGCAUUUCUUUUCAUUUCAAUCCCUUGUUCCCCUUCCAUCACUUGUCUAAUACACCUCUCUAUUUCAUCUCCACUCACAAUCCCAUCCUCCCUCACAUUAACUCGAACCCCAACUUUCCAAACAUCCUCAACUAGCUUAGCAUCCGUGGUUUGGUCGGCCCACUGUGGCAUCGCCACCAUCGGUACCCCCAAACACAAGGCCUCAAUCGUCGAGUUCCACCCACAAUGCG